AGUCGUAACAAGGUAUCCGUAGGUGAACCUGCGGAUGGAUCAUUAUAGGGUGUUGGGUAAUUGUGAGUGGUUUUAUUAUUAGUAGUUUGAGCGGUGUUGGUUGGGAUGCUUGCAGGAUUGCCAAGCAGGAUUGCCAAGCAAGACAGCCAACAUUGCCUCACGUUAAACUCUAUAAAUCUAACAAUUACAUACAAAAAAAAACAACUUUUAGCAACGGAUCUCUUGGCUCUC
rnacentral:misc_RNA from 1 species